CUGGUAGUGGGGGAUAACGUCCGGAAACGGGCGCUAAUACCGCAUACGUCCUGAGGGAGAAAGUGGGGGAUCUUCGGACCUCACGCUAUCAGAUGAGCCUAGGUCGGAUUAGCUAGUUGGUGGGGUAAAGGCCUACCAAGGCGACGAUCCGUAACUGGUCUGAGAGGAUGAUCAGUCACACUGGAACUGAGACACGGUCCAGACUCCUACGGGAGGCAGCAGUGGGGAAUAUUGGACAAUGGGCGAAAGCCUGAUCCAGCCAUGCCGCGUGUGUGAAGAAGGUCUUCGGAUUGUAAAGCACUUUAAGUUGGGAGGAAGGGCAGUAAGUUAAUACCUUGCUGUUUUGACGUUACCAACAGAAUAAGCACCGGCUAACUUCGUGCCAGCAGCCGCGGUAAUACGAAGGGUGCAAGCGUUAAUCGGAAUUACUGGGCGUAAAGCGCGCGUAGGUGGUUCAGCAAGUUGGAUGUGAAAUCCCCGGGCUCAACCUGGGAACUGCAUCCAAAACUACUGAGCUAGAGUACGGUAGAGGGUGGUGGAAUUUCCUGUGUAGCGGUGAAAUGCGUAGAUAUAGGAAGGAACACCAGUGGCGAAGGCGACCACCUGGACUGAUACUGACACUGAGGUGCGAAAGCGUGGGGAGCAAACAGGAUUAG
rnacentral:rRNA from 1 species